GACAUUACUUGUUCAGACCAAUGAUUAAAAGGCAAGUUCCCUAUUAACCGGAGUGUAUAUAAAAGAACCGACAACUCAUUGUUUUAUCAGCCGAAACCCUUCAACGUCAACUCAAAGCCGGGCUUAAUUUUUAUGGUUAAGAUAUAUUGGUGGCCGGGAGACUAUGUAGAGAUACCGGCAACGCUGACGAUGUGACAUGUUGGUUUGGAGACUAUCUACCUCCAGUGGCGUAGUUUGGUUAGGGUGUGGUGUUGGAUACUUAAAGAUUUUCUGCGUUUAUCGGAAUGUGUGGAUCUAGAUCUAUGUUGAUACUAGAAAGUGUGUUGUUGUGUUGUUUAUUUACAGAGAUUUCAUAGUAUGUUAAAUGCUUUUCACCAAUGCCUAAAGCAUAAAAGGGUAACGGACCGACGGCAAAUGAGUACAUUAGACCGAUAGCGUACCGUAUAAGGACAUUAGACUGACAGAAUAAAAGAACAUUAGACCGUCAGCAUAUAAGGACAUUAGACCGACACAAUAUUAGGGCAUUAGACUGUCAGCAAAUAAGGUCAUUAGACCGAAAGAAUAUUAGGGCAUUAGAUCGACAGCAUAUAAGGGCAGUAAACACACAGCAUAUAAGGGCAUUAGGCUUUCGGCAUAAGAGGGCAUUAGGCCGAAAGUAGACCAGGGCUUCUGGCCUACACAGCGCCUAAGGCAUACAAUGUACAGGGAAACCAAUAAGGUCUUUGCAUUACGCCUUCAGUGCCAGUGUAGAAAGAAACAUCGUUUAUGUUCCAUCCCAGAUGCCAGGUUUUUUUUUAUAGAGAUAAGUGAUCUCAAGAAACUUUCACUUCAGUAUAGGAAAUGUAAACUUCAGACAGCUAGAAGUGCCUUCACAAGAUAACAAUUGUAUGGUACUGUGUACUUCAUCUUGGUCAUUAAUGGAUUUAUUUAUAAGGAAGAUCUCUUUGUCAGGGGGAGGCAUGGCGAGAGUGAAUAUGUUACUUUGAUAGUUUGACAAUAAAUAGCAAGUAGAACUAAGAGAAGAUUGACUACUGUUACAAUGGAGCACUUUUACACUGCCACCAAAGUCAACUGACUUAAGACUAUCAAAUAAGUGUGAUAACAAGCUCUUUAUUAGCCCUCACAUAGCUGCUAAAAUUCUGGCCAAACAUUGCAUACUUAACAGACAGUUAAUCCAGACAAGGCAUCAGCCACAACAGUGAAAGUGUCAUCCACAAGAGAGAUCGUGUCAUCCAUGACAAAGAUAAUGUCAUCCAUGACAGUGAUAGUGUCAUCCACAAGAGUGAUAGUGUCAGAAACUGUUACUUGUAGAGAUUUUUAAUUUAUUAAUUAUCUCUUUGGACAAAGUAUGCAAUCAAUUUAACAUAUACUGGACAUGUGGUGGUGUGUAAUGUACAGAGAAAGCAAAUGUCGUGAGACAGCUCAUUAGGUCUCAGGAGUUCAGCAGACGUUUGGAUCCACAGCCAAAAGGUUCUAUUGCACUACUCAGGACCGGAUUUACGACGGUAGACUACCAAACUCUGCAGUCACCCAUGGCAUCACAUUAAAGAGGGCUUCCAUAAUUCAAAAAAUGUAAAAGAAGCGUAUUAAAUAUUAGGGAAAAAAAGGAAAUGAGAUUAAAUGUACAAGAACAAUAUUUCUCUCUUCGUAUAUGGCAUUAAUGUAUGUGUCAAAAAGAAAAUAUAGGCUAUCUUAUCUUAUUUUAUAUAAUACAGACGUUACUUCAAAAAAAGUAGAUAAAAUACUAUUAAAAAAACAAAGCUUAUAUUAAGCGUAGUUGUAGGCCUACCAAUAAAUAUGGAUCAGUCAUGACUCAUGUAAUUAAAUUUGUAAUAGAUCUAGACUAACAAUAAUACAUCUUUGCGAUUAGAACUAUUUUAACCUUUUUUUUUUUUGUUGAUCGCAAUUUCACGCUUUUAGCUGUAUCAGUACUACGCUAUGAUCCUAUCACUUGCCUGGAACAGUUGGGAAAUUAAGAAAAAGGGGGGGGGGUUAAAUGCGGGCGAUUGUUCACGUGAUCGUUUUUAAAAUGUAUCUAUUAUAAACAAAAAUGUGAAAUACCUUAAUUCGAACUCGAGAGCUCAAGCAUCCUAAAGCCUACUCUAGCCAACACAAUAGCCACUGCGCUAGAGAAUCGCUUAUGAAAUUCUGUUUUAUAGUUAUCUAUUUUUAGCUUCUUCAAACUUGAAAGCGACGACCUACAACGUAUAUAGGGGGCUGAUUCAAGUUAUACUACCAGAUCAGUCAAGUACAAUUUCUUUCCCUUGUUCGAUACGAAAAAAAAAUUACUAAUAGUCAAUUAUUUAAUUGGUUAACGUUUUUAUGAUUCUUGUGUUCUCAGGUAAAAGAAAUAACUGUGCCAAAUGUCAUCUUGGUCCGAGAUAGGAUGUGGGAGAAAUAACGUGUAAAAUCUUUUUACCAGAGUUAAAAGUGCAUUUAUCUUAUAAAUUACAGACGUUACUUCAAAAGAGAAAAUAAUUACGUCCUACGCGUGAAUGUUCAUCAUUGACUUAAAACUCUGCUAACAAAACAUUAAAACAUAGAUCGAAAUAUUAAACUAUAUCUAAGUUUAAGCUCUGAUCAUCACAUAUAGGCCAUGCUUUUAGAAAAUAUAAGUUUUCAGACAAGCUCUCAUACAUAUAGGCACAAGGUGUGAGACCAGUUUUAAAACAUGUAAAGUACCCCAUUUGAGACUUUGCGAUUUAAAGGGCAGAUGGGGCUAUACAUGAAAAACACUAUGGUUGACGAUUAACGAGGGUGCCAUGUGGUCAGCACAACACCAAACCGCCUUCACUUUUCACAACUUAUGGCAGUUGUUUAGUAAAAAAAAAAGCUUUAAUUCAUAAUUACACAGUCUUCAUCGAGAUUUGAACUCGAGAUCCAUUGAUUCGCAAGCCAAACACUUCACUACUCUGCCACCAUCUGUGGCAUUUUACGUGUUUUUGUAUUGUAUAUAUCCCUUUGCAAACUUCUUGUGUUACUAAAGAGGACAAUCCUUGAUACACAGCUGUGGUCUCAGGUUGGGCAUAUGUAAUCACCCUUUUUUCUGCUUCUGUUUUGUAUGGCCUCUGCAAUCCGAGACCCUUCAUUGUGCCACCACUAUCACAUAAUACAGUGUCUCCCAAACGUCCAGGGACGUGAUUCGCGCAAGUAUAACUAAAUACUGCGUUAUCCCCCUUUAACAACGAUACUGUUGGUAGCAUAGACAUCAAUAAAUAUAGACUGGAAAAAGGAAAUAACUUCAUGUAACUUGAAAACAUGUAUAUCUAUUGUAUUCGGAUUUCCGAAUUCUGAAAAAUUGAAAAAUUGCAUGAUCUUCAGUCUUAGAGAUUAAACAAAACUCCUAGACAUAAAUAAAGUACACAGAAAGGCAAGUCACAAAUUUUCGCUUCAUAAAACUCUAUUAUCGGCCAGUCUAUAUUUAUUUAUGUCUAUGGCAAUUUUUCAUAAUUCGGAAAUCCGAAUACAAUAGAUAUACAUGUUUUCAAGUUACAUGAAGUUACUUCCUUCGGCUAGUCUAUAUUUAUCAAUGUCUAUGGUUGGUAGCUUCUAAUGAUGAUUAUUGUCACAUUUUUUUUUUACUUAUUUCCGGUUUGUCGGAACACUGACGUCAGACUCUAUGUCUUUUAAUGGUAAACAUUUCAGACUGUACCAACUUUUACUAUCUAUUUUUUUUUUAGUACAGCUUAUCAAGAUAAGACCAGACUGCCAUGAGUCUUUGAAGUGGCUGAUCGAUCAUCCGUCUUUGAAGUGGACAGUUGAUGACUAAAAUAAGACUUGUACCGGUACCCAUGUACUCAGUUCACUAAUUUCAAGUAGUUAUAUUGAUCAGUGAAGGCCCGGUGGUAGAGUGGAUUUUGAAUUUCGGAAUUUUUAGAGCGCUCUGAGUCCACUCAACUCUAAUGGGCACCUGACU